AACGAACGCUGGCGGCAGGCUUAACACAUGCAAGUCGAACGGGUGCAGCAAUGCAUCAGUGGCAGACGGGUGAGUAACACGUGGGAACCUUCCUAGGGGUACGGAACAACUCAGGGAAACUUGAGCUAAUACCGUAUACGUCCGUAAGGAGAAAGAUUCAUCGCCCCUAGACGGGCCCGCGUCGGAUUAGGUAGUUGGUGGGGUAACGGCCUACCAAGCCUACGAUCCGUAGCUGAUCUGAGAGGAUGAUCAGCCACACUGGGACUGAGACACGGCCCAGACUCCUACGGGAGGCAGCAGUGGGGAAUCUUGGACAAUGGGCGCAAGCCUGAUCCAAGCC
rnacentral:rRNA from 1 species